GGAGGCAGAGGCAGGUGGAUUUCUGAGUUCGAGGCCAGCCUGGUCUACAGAGUGAGUUCCAGGACAGCCAGGGCUACACAGAGAAACAGUGUCUCCAAAAACCAAAAAAAAAAAAAAAAAAAAAAAAAAAAAGAAUAUAACAAAUGUCACCAAUAAUACAGUUCCUACUUGCUCGGUUGGGACAGAAAUCACAGGUGUAUAAAAUACAACUCUCCCAAGGACACCUGAGGUAGUAAUGUGUGGCCAAGAGUUAGCUUUCUCAAGGCAGACAGAUCUGGUUCAAGCCAGACAUGACACAUGAGAUGACCUUGGGCAAAUCUUAGUUGAGCUUCAGAGAAGUACUGGGUACUGGAAGUGCACACAGAACAGCGCCUGUUGCGGGCGACAAGUUUGGUUCUUUUGCCGGUGCCUGUCUUUUGCUUGGCGGUUGCCCCUUCACAGUGCCGCCUCCUCUCUCCCUUACCAGGGAGAAGCUGCAGAAGCACGGGGUGUGCAUCCGCGUCCUGGGUGAUCUGCAUCUGCUGCCCUUGGACCUCCAGGAGAAGAUUGCGCAUGCCAUCCAGGCUACUAAGAACUACAAUAAGUAAGUUCUCAGGUUGUUCCUCAGAAGAGGCACCAGAGCUUCCAAGGUCUGUACUCCAUGCAAGGUUCUUGAGAGAGUAGUUUGUGAUGCUUAGAGACUUUGACCUGUAGAAGAGACCAAGUGCCCUUUCAUUCAUUCACAUGCAAACCCAGUCCCUUGCCCUCCCCACCCCAAUGUUUUUGGGAACUAUAAAUGUGCACACAUACACACAAACACCCCCCCUACACACACACACCACAUAUACUUGAACUUGACAAGUGUCGGGAUAUCCUUUAGUCCUAGGCUACUGUGGUAUACAUACCCUUAACUCCAUCACUAGAUAGUCAGGAACAGGCAUAUCUCAGUGAGUUUGAGGCUGACCCAAGCUACAUGUGGGACCCUGCC
rnacentral:lncRNA from 1 species